CCACGGGUGGCAGCAGUGAGGAAUAUUGGUCAAUGGGCGCGAGCCUGAACCAGCCAAGUCGCGUGAGGGAGGACGGCCCUACGGGUUGUAAACCUCUUUUGCCGGGGAGCAACGGGCGUCACGUGUGGCGCCACUGAGAGUACCCGGAGACAAAGCAUCGGCUAACUCCGUGCCCGCAGCCGCGGUAAUACGGAGGAUGCGAGCGUUAUCCGGAUUUAUUGGGUUAAAAGGGUGCGUAGGCGGAUCGUUAAGUCAGUGGUCAAAUUGAGGGGCUCAACCCCUUCCCGCCAUUGAAACUGGCGCUCUUGAGUGGAAGAGAAGUAUGCGGAAUGCGUGGUGUAGCGGUGAAAUGCAUAGAUAUCACGCAGAACCCCGAUUGCGAAGGCAGCAUGCCGGCUUCCGACUGACGCUGAAGCACGAAAGCGUGGGGAUCGAACAGGAUUAGAUACCCUAGUAGUC
rnacentral:rRNA from 1 species